GAAAACCACAUAAACGACGAACCAGCUACACACAGAGACGCCUCCACGUCCUACGACGCACACUCCUCACAAUUAGACAUAAACUCGUCACAGUUUGACAUUAACUCCUCACAAUUUGACAUUAACUCCUCACAAUAUGACAUAAACUACGACGCGUCAGAAUUCGACGCGUCAUCGAUCGCGCCCAGCGAGGAUUUGUCUGUCUACUGUGCGAUGAUGAAGAAGCCGAAGAAAAGUAGGUCUAAGGAACAGCAUUUGAGGGAUAUUGGUAUGUGGCAAGCGACUAAUAUCGAGGUGAUGCAGAAUCUCCUAAACCGUAGCGGAUCACUGGACGAACAAAUAAAAUGGGAGGCAAUCGCCACCGCGCGUGGUUUGUGCACGCUAACAGACAAUUGUACAUGCGCCGACUGCAGUGGGGCAAAAUACAUGUCCGGGAUCAGCGAGGAUGACGGGGGCAUGGCGGCGGCACCGCUUCUCAGUGCCCUCAACAUGGGAUGUCAAAUACAAUAAGUUCACGACCUUUUCUGACCAUAGACUGUUAUAUUUCUGUAAUUUAUUUAUCAGUACCCACUGCACUGGUCUUCUUACAUUAGAAGUAUGAACCAUACGGAUUUAGAUUUCGCGGCAUGGGGUCAAAAGUCAAACGGUUAAGACUGUAUGUAACACCUAUAUAACAAA